GACGAACGCUGGCGGCGUGCUUAACACAUGCAAGUCGAACGAUGAAGCGCUGUCUUUUUGGUGGUGUGGAUUAGUGGCGAACGGGUGAGUAAUACGCGGGCAACCUGCGCCUCUGCUUCGGGAUAAGCUUUGGAAACGGGGUCUAAUACCGGAUGUGCCUGUCUGGUCGCAUGUCUGGGGGGGAAAGAUGUUUUUCGGCGGGGGAUGGGCUCGCGGGCUAUCAGCUUGUGGGGGGGGGGACGGCCUACCAAGAGGUCGACGCGUAGCCGGCCUGAGAGAGGGGUCGGCACACUAGGACUGAGAUACGGCGCAGACUCUUACGGGAGGGAGCAGUGGGGGGAUAUUGCACAAUGUGCGCAAAGCCUUAUCCAGCGACCCCCCCGGGGGGGGAUAGAGGGGUUUUUGGGGUUUAAACCCCCUUUCGGGGCGGGAAAAGGGUUCCGUUUGGGGGGGGUUGAGGGUACCCGUCAAAAAAAGCGCCGGGUAAACUACGUGCCAAGCGCCCCGGAAAUACGAAGGGGUGCGAGCGUUUAAUCGGAAAUUUCUUGGGGCGAAAGGGGGGCCCGGGGGGGUUAUGUAAGAACAGUUGUGAAAACCCCCGGGCUCAACCCGGGAACCCGCAUCUUUGACUGCAUAGCUAGAGAACGGGAGAAGGGGGGUGGAAAUUCCCCGUUAGCAGUGAAAUGCGUAGAUAUGCGGAGGAACACCGAUUGCGAAGGAAUCUCCCUGGCCCUGUACUGACCCUCAUGCACGAAGCGUGGGGAGGAAAAAGGAUUGAUACCCUGGUAGUUCCAAAGGCGAAUUCCACAUGGGGUUGAGCCCCGGGGGAUCUCCUAUGUUUUAGAGGGGCCGCCCCCCGGAACCCCCAAUCCCCCCUUUAGGGGGUCGUUUAAGGGGGGUCCACUGGGCGCAGUUUCAAACGUCCUGGCUUGGAAAACCCUUGGGUUCCAUGAUUAAAACCCCUUUACGACCAAUCCCCUUUUGCGAGUGUGUAAGUACGGAAGAGCCCCCCUGAUAAUUGUG
rnacentral:rRNA from 1 species